AACGUCUUGCUCCCUGAGAGGUGAUGGGUAUGCUAGGGAUGCUCGCUCAGGGAACGUGGGCCAAGUCCUCUGAACACGAAGCUCGCAGAGGGGGUGAUUCCUGUGAAUUCUGAAAGGACUUGGGGGCGUCCAGCAAGAGCAGGAGCUUAGAUGGUGGUUCCAGGGCUGGUGUUGCUGACUGGGACGAGUGGACCCCCAGGGUGGGCAUGGAGUGGGGCACUGGCUGGGAGCCUCUGCCUUGCUGUGUCCUGGCUGAAUGAACCCAGGACUUGCUGUGCUCAGAUCCUCCAUUCAAGAGAGCUACAGACACGGGGGUGCUGGUGAGCAGGAGCCGAGACCAUCUGGGGUGGGACCGACCAAGAGUUUGAGGUGUCCAGGGGGUGACGUGAAGAUGACCUAUUGCAGAGGGUCCCUUCUCAUUCACGCUCUGAAGUCUGCACAGGGGCAGGGGCUACCGUGCUCCAUUUCAGUUUGGCCUCUGUUGUAUCAGCCAGAGGCCAGCAGAACUCUAUGGUCACUCCCCCGUGUCACGGACAAUUUGCCACCUCCACCGGCAGCCCAGGGCUCUGCCUG
rnacentral:lncRNA from 1 species